rnacentral:ncRNA from 1 species
CUUUUUACCGGCGCCGAUUUGUCCGGCUUGCGGGCGCCUAAAAAGUUCAGCUAAAGGGGGACAACCGACA